rnacentral:rRNA from 1 species
AAGCGCUUGCAACCAGACUUGCGCGCUGUUGAUCAUCCGAGCUUCUGCCCGGUGCACUCAGCAGCGUUCAGGCCAGCAUCGGUUUUGGUGGGCGGAUAAAGGCCUUGGGAAUGUAGCUUCUUUCGGGGAGUGUUAUAGCCUGUUGCAUAAUACCCUUCGGCGGGCUGAGGUACGCGCUCCGCAAGGAUGCUGGCGUAAUGGU